UAUUGGGCAAUGGGCGCAAGCCUGACCCAGCAACGCCGCGUGAUCGAAUGAAGGCCUUCGGGUUGUAAAGAUCUGUUGGCAGGGACGAAUAAGCAAUGCGAAUAGUUUUGUGUAUGACGGUACCUGUUUAGAAAGCUCCGGCUAUCUACGUGCCAGCAGCCGCGGUAAUACGUAGGGAGCAAGCGUUGUCCGGAAUUACUGGGCGUAAAGGGCGCGUAGGUGGGCGCUUAAGUCAGGUGUGAAAACUCCGGGCUCAACCUGGAGACUGCACUUGAAACUGGGUGUCUUGAGGGCAGGAGAGGAAAGUGGAAUUCCUAGUGUAGCGGUGAAAUGCGUAGAUAUUAGGAGGAACACCAGUGGCGAAGGCGACUUUCUGGACUGUACCUGACGCUGAGGCGCGAAAGCGUGGGUAGCGAACGGG
rnacentral:rRNA from 1 species